UUAUGAUUGCUCAAUUUAGAUUUAAAAUUUUAAACUAGAAUUUAAAACUUGAAACUCUAAAUUUUAGAAACUCAAAAAGGGAAUAUUUUCAAUUUAUUGAACGGAUGAUUCCUUUCAUAAACUGUAUUUAGAAGCAUUCGUCCAGAUGAAUUGAAUAAUAAAUAAAUGGAGAGAUAAAAUGAAAUUUGAAUCAUGUUGAGAUUUCUGGAUUGUGCAUUUAAAGUUGAAUCUCAACUCUAAAGUGGAUUUGAAUUUGGAACUUGAAAAUAAAACAAAAAAAUCAGAAAACAGAAAAAAAAAUAAGCGAACCACUCCUCACUCUUGGGGCAUCUUUCCUGGGCUCGGCCCAGUUUGACCUCGUCGUCCCCGUUCGCCUGGCUUAGCUCCACGCCGCAGAGCACCGCACGUCAGACUCCACUACUGUCAUGUGGGCCCUAUGUACUAGAUUCAUCUCCUUCCUCCUCGGGCAUGAAACGAACUCGUGACCCAGCUGGACGCGGAAUCCUCAACCGAAUCUUUGCCAACCAAUCUCGUCCCAUCUGGUUAUCCAGCGAGUUCGUUGAGAUCCCUAGCUAACCGAGCGCCUAGCAACCAGAGCAAAUCGAAGGGAGAGAGGAGAGUAGCUGCCAUGGUUGAAUCCCGAGUUCAACGCAGGCGAGCCAUCAGCGAUUGACCAAGAGGAUCUGAGAGGUCACAUGGAGGAGUUCGGGGACUCACUAGGCACGUGUAGUGACCUAGGGAGACAGAAUUGCUCCUCUACCGUGGAGUCACCUUGCAAUGUGAGUGAAGCUGCAUACUCUACCGAUUCGGGAACGCGCUGACGCGGGCCUCAGCGGAAGGGGCGAGGAGGCGGAGGGGGUGCAGGAGGCGGAGUUCGUCGCCACCACGGUCAAAGAUGUUGCCAAGCUGGACGGCGAGGGUGGACCCGGCGGCCCAUGAGGUGGAGGCGGCAGAUGGGGAGUCGGGGCUACAGGGCAUGAGGCCGACGAGGCGGAGCACGGAGAAAGCCGAUCCACGACGCGAUGCUUCUAGGAGCAAUGGACAGCAGGCUGGUGGGUCCUUUUCCUCAUCCCGUUCGUUCGCUGUCUGGAACCAUCGAGGCUAUUCCAGGAUUUGAUACACGGAGGGAUUCUUGGCCGCUAAAAUCUGAUCGAACGGCUAAAAAUUUUAAAGGUGACGUGGACGAACGGUGUCGUACUUUUACGUCGCGCUUUGUAUAGUAGUAAAGUAAUGUUUAUACUGA